GACUGUAAUAAUCGUCUGUUUACAUGGAUAAAGCUUUCAUUGGUAAAUAAACUAUCAAUUGAAGCUUAGACAAAUGAAGUACUCUCCAUUUCAUUCAUACAGCUGCGAAAAUGGAGAGAACUUCAUUUGUCUAAGCUUCAAUUGAUAGUUUAUUUACCAAUGAAAGCUUUAUCCAUGUAAACAGACGAUUAUUACAGUCGCAUUGAGAUCU
rnacentral:snoRNA from 1 species